rnacentral:rRNA from 1 species
CUACGGGGUGCUGCAGUGAGGAAUAUUGCACAAUGGGGGGAACCCUGAUGCAGCAACGCCGCGUGGAGGAUGACGCAUUUCGGUGUGUAAACUCCUUUUAUAUGUCAAGAAAAUGACGGUAGCAUAUGAAUAAGCACCGGCUAACUCCGUGCCAGCAGCCGCGGUAAUACGGAGGGUGCAAGCGUUACUCGGAAUCACUGGGCGUAAAGGACGCGUAGGCGGGUUGGAAAGUCAGGUGUGAAAUCCUACAGCUUAACUGUAGAACUGCACUUGAAACUUCUAAUCUAGAGUAUGGGAGGGGGAGAUGGAAUUAGUGGUGUAGGGGUAAAAUCCGUAGAUAUCACUAGGAAUACCUAAAGCGAAGGCGAUCUCCUGGAACAUUACUGACGCUAAGGCGUGAAAGCGUGGGGAGCAAACAGGAUUAGAUACCCGCGUAGUC